rnacentral:rRNA from 1 species
CCUACGGGAGGCAGCAGUGGGGAAUAUUGCACAAUGGCGGAAACCCUGAUGCAGCCACGCCGCGUGAGUGACGAAGUAUCUCGGUAUGUAAAGCUCUAUCAGCAGGGAAGAAGAAAGACGGUACCUGACUAAGACGCCCCGGCUAACUACGUGACAGCAGCCGCGGUAAUACGUAGGGGGCAAGCGUUAUCCGGAUUUACUGGGUGUAAAGGGAGCGGAGACGGCUGUGCAAGUCUGAAGUGAAAGCCCGUGGCUCAACCGCGGAACUGCCUUGGAAACUGGAUCGCUUGAGUACUGGAGAGGCAGGCGGAAUGCGUGGUGUAGCGGUGAAAUGCGUAGAUAUUAGGAGGAACACCAGUGGCGAAGGCGGCCUGCUGGACAGAAACUGACGUUGAGGCUCGAAAGCGUGGGGAGCGAACAGGAUUAGAUACCCUAGUAGUC